GAUGAAGAACGCAGUGAAAUGCGAUAAUUAAUGUGAAUUGCAGAAUUCAGUGAAUCAUCGAGUCUUUGAACGCACAUUGCGCCCCCUGGUAUACCGGGGGGCAUGCCUGUCCGAGCGUCAUUGCUGCCCUCAAGCACGGCUUGUGUGUUGGGCCUCCGUCCUCCUCCCGGGGGACGGGCCCGAAAGGCAGCGGCGGCACCGCGUCCGGUCCUCGAGCGUAUGGGGCUUCGUCACCCGCUCUUGUAGGCCCGGCCGGCGCUUGCCGACACAUCAAUCUUUUUUCCAGGUUGACCUCGGAUCAGGUAGGGAUACCCGCUGAACUUAAGCAUAUCAAUAAGCGGAGGA
rnacentral:misc_RNA from 1 species